CCCCAACGCCCCGCAGUGUUCCCAGGCACCAAUUAUGGCGGGACUUGUCCCUUUUUCCUCUGUAUUGGAAGUGAUGUGCCUUGCCCUACAGGGUCGACACCACCGCUACACCCCCGUAUCUGCAGAGAUCCUGCCAGCGCCCGCGGCCCUCCACCGCAGUCCUGGAGAAAUGAUAAUUAUGACAUCCGCCCACUCAAGAGGCAAGAGAUAGUUCAACUCCCUUGCCCCUUGUUCCAGCCUUUCUAUUUUUUUAUUUGACUGAUUCAAUAUUCUGUGGGCCAGCGCUGCCUACUUUCUUUCUCCGUGUCUUGGAGAAGCAGAGGCUCUCUCUCUAUGCCGUAUCUGCAGGCUUUUUCUGUCUGAGAGGAGUGCGCUUUAAUAAAGUUUCACAACGCCGCCGACCACUGAGCUCACGCUCUCAACGCCGCUCGACUCAGACCAGCAUCCUUUCGGCUAUUUCACACAUUACAGCGCGUCUGUGCUCCUUUUCAUUGCGAGCGAUUUAUCCAGUCGUGCCACCAAACACGCAUUGGAGCAUUUUUUUAAACGAUGGUUGAAUUUUAAUCAUUAAUGAGCCACUGGUCAUAAACUCUAAUAAUUACUCACAGAAGUGUUUUUAACAAUAGCUUAUUAUUACUAUUAUUAUAACAGCAGGAACGUGUGCAGCAUUAAGCAAAAUUGUUUUCUUAAUGGUCCAUCAAGGUUCAUGUCCCUUUGAAAGCCAUAAAUUAAUAAUUAAUCUCACAUUAUCCAGGCAUAAACAGCCCAUGCAUUUAUGCUAUGCAGCAACCUACAACCAAGCUAUUAAACUAUUAACAACUGAUUCAGCCAAGCAAAAAAUUGGGAUCCAAACUCAAUUACACAAUCCACAACUUCAACCUAAUUAGACGCGUCUUCCCUUCAUCAGCUGAACAGAAUGCGAUCCUGCAGGACAAAAGUGCAAAUUGAUCCAAUUAGUGUCCGAGUGCCGUAAAGAUUCAUGCAGCGUGUCAUAAUGUACACUGCGGGCAGGGACGUGCGACUGGUGUCAGCAGGACCGUGGUCUGAGUGGGAUUAACAGCGGCCGUGAACGCGUCCUGCUGACAGAACGUGCCCUCCCUCUGAUUGGCCGAUCGCUCCGCCAGAAGUCGCGAUGCGGCCCCCGUGAAGCACACCUGUGGCCACUAGGCGUUAUAACGAUAAUAUCCCUACGCCUCAUCUACUUGUACCUGCGGCGAAAGGCUACGGAGGAAUUAAACAAACAUCGGCAGCGGCCGACCUGCGCUCCCGCGUUUCAGACGUCCGAUGUCGCCAUCAGUCAUCUUCCCCGGAGUGUCUUGGCCCAAGGAGCCGGACCACCCACAGACGUAUGCGGCACGAUUCGUGUGCUGCAGUCUGAGAUGUCUCACAUGCUCUGCAU
rnacentral:lncRNA from 1 species